AUUGAACGCUGGCGGCAGGCCUAACAAAUGCAAGUCGAGCGAGCGGCGGACGGGUGAGUAAUGUCUGGGAAACUGCCGGAUGAAGGGGGAUAACUACUGGAAACGGUAGCUAUUACGCCAUACAAUAAGAUUUGCCCAGAUGGGAUUAGCUGGAGGGUGGGGUAACGGCUCACCUAGGCGACGAUCCCUAGCUGGUCUGAGAGGAUGACCAGCCACACUGGAACUGAGACACGGUCCAGACUCCUACGGGAGGCAGCAGUGGGGAAUAUUGCACAAUGGGCGCAAGCCUGAUGCAGCCAUGCCGCGUGUGUGAAGAAGGCCUUCGGGUUGUAAAGCACUUUCAGCGGGGAGGCGUUACCCGCAGAAGAAGCACCGGCUAACUCCGUGCCAGCAGCCGCGGUAAUAC
rnacentral:rRNA from 1 species